AUAUGCUUUCCAGUGCUAUGAAGACUUCAUAUUCCGCUUUGUUAAGAAUUUUGGUCACUUAGUUGGAGAUUUGAUACAGGAAAAGCAUUGGUCUUGGCCCUUUUGGAGAGCUUAGGUAUCCUGCACAUCCUUUUGCUGAUUGAAGAUGGAUGUUUCCCGAGAUUGGUGAGUUUCAUUGCUAUGAUAAAUACAUGGAGCUAUCACUAAACAAAUGACUGCAAUAGAAGAAAUGGUUGCAAGUGAGUACAGUUAGUCAGACCCUCAUCUUUGUGACAAGAUCUUGAAGUUGGUCAUUUGUGAAGCAUUCUAGUUUACUAUUAGUUGUAGUUUUAGUUAUUGCUCUCUCAAUAUAUUCUUUUUCUUUCUUUCU